UGGUAUAAAAUAUAUUUCCUAGAGUCUACAGCAGAACAUGUACAGGAGCAAUAUAACACUACACGGAGGUCUGAGCGAGUUAGGGUUUGGGAUAUAUAUCAAAAGUCGUAUCAAAGUGUCUUGCUUUAGCCUAACACGACACAGAGAAUACAAUACACACACAGAAACCAAAGAAGCAGAAAAUGUAAAGAUAAUUGAUUUUUUCUCAGCUGCACAAAUACAUUAAAUUUACGAAGCGAUUAGCGGGCUUUUUUUUAUUUAAUUUUUUUUUUUUACACCUUUUCUGUUGCCCUUGAUCAGCUGUUUCUCUAGCUGUAAAAAAAAAAGUUAUGAUUAUUUACUAGACUUCUCAUUAUACAAACACAAAAUUGAAUAAGAAAAAGGAAAUGAAAAAUAAUAUACAGUAAAUUUCUUGAGCUGCACAAACACACAAGUUAACCAGGCAUUUCUAUACAAGUUAUCAUUAUUAUUUGUUAGUCUUUCCAUUAUACAAACACAAAAUUGAAUAAGAAAAAGGAAAUGAAAAAUAAUAUACAGUAAAUUUCUUCUGAGCUGCAGAAUUACAUAAGUUUACCAAGCAUUUCUAUACAAGUUAUCAUUAUUAUUAUUCAUUAGUCUUUCCAUUAUACAAACACAAAAUUGAAUAAGAAAAAGCAAAUAUAAAAAAUAAUAUACAGUAAAUUUCUUCUUAGCUGCAGAAAUACAUAAGUUUACCAAGCAUUUCUAUACAAGUUAUCAUUAUCAUUUAUAGUCUUUCCAUUAGACAAACACAAAAUCGAAUAAGAAAAAGCAAAUAUAAAACAUAAUAUAGUAAAAUUUCUUCUUUGCUGCAGAAAUAUACAUGCAGUUCACCAAGCAUUUCUAUACAAGUUAUUAUUAUUAUUAUUAUUAUUAUUAUUAUUAUUAUUAUUCAUUAGUCUUUCCAUUAUACAAACAAAAUUGAAUAAGAAAAAGCAAAUAUAAAACAUAAUAUAUAGUAAAUUUCUUCUUAGCUGCAGAAAUAUACAUGCAGUUCACCAAGCAUUUCUAUACAAGUUAUUAUUAUUAUUAUUAUUCAUUAGUCUUCUCAUUAGACAAACACAAAAUUGAAUAAGACAAAGCAAAUGAAAAAUAAUACAUCAAGCAUUUCUAUACAAGUUAUCAUUAUCAUUAUCUUCUAGUCUUCUCAUUAUGCCAACAUUUAAACCAAGCAAAAAAUUAUAUAAUACAAAUUUCUUCGUAGCCACACAAAUACAGUUUUUAUCAAGCAAUGGUUCUAAUGUUCUUUCAUCACUUGAGUUAUAUAUAUGGAGGCUCGACUCGUUAUAUGGUAUCAUUAGUUCUUUAAAUGUAUGAUACAGUAUUGCACUACACUUUGACAUAAUGUAUAGUUGGAGGAUAGGAGAGUGGCCGAGGGAGGGACAGUCAUGGUGGGGAGCAAUGUCACUUGGGUCAGAAAUUACAAGCAGGAGAGGAGGAGGAGGAGGAGGAGGAGGAGUUGUUUAGGAAAGAUAAAUUAAGUUCAUGAAAAGUUUAGCUCAGAAAGAUGAAGGAAAGUCAUGUAGGAAGGAUAGGUCAGGUCACACAGUUCAUGGAAAGUUUAGCUCAGAAAGGUGAAGGAAAGUCAUGUAGGAAGGAUAGGUCAGGUCACACAGUUCAUGGAAAGUUUAGCUCAGAAAGAUGAAGGAAUGUCAUGUAGGAAGGAUAGGUCAGGUCACACAGUUCACGGAAAGUUUAGCUCAGAAAGAUGAAGGAAUGUCAUGUAGGAAGGAUAGGUCAGGUCACUCAGUUCAUGGAAAGUUUAGCUCUGAAAGAUGAAGGAAUGUCAUGUAGGAAGGAUAGGUCAGGUCACACAGUUCAUGGAAAGUUUAGCUCAGAAAGAUGAAGGAAUGUCAUGUAGGAAGGAUAGGUCAGGUCACUCAGUUCACGGAAAGUUUAGCACAGAAAGAUGAAGGAAUGUCAUGUAGGAAGGAUAGGUCAGGUCACACAGUUCAUGGAAAGUUUAGCUCAGAAAGAUGAAGGAAUGUCAUGUAGGAAGGAUAGGUCAGGUCACUCAGUUCAUGGAAAGUUUAGCUCAGAAAGGUGAAGGAAUGUCAUGUAGGAAGGAUAGGUCAGGUCACACAGUUCAUGGAAAGUUUAGCUCAGAAAGAUGAAGGAAUGUCAUGUAGGAAGGAUAG